CCUAGUUGGUGGAGCGAUUUGUCUGGUUAAUUCCGUUAACGAACGAGACCUCAGCCUGCUAUGGGUGGUGGUGCAACAGUCUGGCCAAAGGAUAUAAUCCGGCUGUCCGGAUACCCCUAAUCCAGGACUCCCUCAAUACCCCUCUGAUUAUGAACAUGAAUAUGCUUUGUGAGUAGUUAUGUUUGUUACUGAGGACAUGGGAGACGUCUUUCUAUUAGUAGUCAUGUGAAUUUGGUAUUCGUUCGAUAUUUUGAUGAGAUGUAUGUGGUCUCUCCUCUAGUGGUGUUAUGUGAACGUCGACUACAUGACACUUCACCAUUAUUUGGGCCUAG
rnacentral:rRNA from 1 species